rnacentral:rRNA from 1 species
AUUGAACGCUGGCGGCAGGCCUAACACAUGCAAGUCGAGCGAGCGGCGGACGGGUGAGUAAUGUAUGGGGACUGCCCGAUAGAGGGGGAUAACUACUGGAAACGGUGGCUAAUACCGCAUACUAUCGGAUAACCCAUAUGGGAUUAGCUAGUAGGUGGGGUAAAGGCUCACCUAGGCGACGAUCUCUAGCUGGUCUGAGAGGAUGAUCAGCCAAACGGGGACUGAGACACGGCCCAGACUCCUCCGGAGGCAGCAGUGGGGAAUAUUGCACAAUGGGCGCAAGCUGGAUGCAGAAAGGCCGCGUGUAUGAGGAAGGCCUUAGGUUUGUAAAGUACUUUAAGCGGGGAGGCGUUACCCGCAGAAGAAGCACCGGCUAACUCCGUGCCAGCCGCCGCGGUAAUAC